GAUGAACGCUGGCGGCGUGCCUAAUACAUGCAAGUCGAGCGAACGGACGAGAAGCUUGCUUCUCUGAUGUUAGCGGCGGACGGGUGAGUAACACGUGGAUAACCUACCUAUAAGACUGGGAUAACUUCGGGAAACCGGAGCUAAUACCGGAUAAUCUUUUGAACCGCAUGGUUCAAAAGUGAAAGACGGUCUUGCUGUCACUUAUAGAUGGAUCCGCGCUGCAUUAGCUAGUUGGUAAGGUAACGGCUUACCAAGGCAACGAUGCAUAGCCGACCUGAGAGGGUGAUCGGCCACACUGGAACUGAGCCACGGUCCAGACUCCUACGGGAGGCAGCAGUAGGGAAUCUUCCGCAAAGGGCGAAAGCCUGACGGAGCAACGCCGCGUGAGUGAUGAAGGUCUUCGGAUCGUAAAACUCUGUUAUUAGGGAAGAACAUAUGCGUAAGUAACUGUGCACAUCUUGACGGUACCUAAUCAGAAAGCCACGGCUAACUACGUG
rnacentral:rRNA from 1 species